rnacentral:rRNA from 1 species
UACGUAGGGUGCGAGCGUUAAUCGGAAUUACUGGGCGUAAAGGGCGCGUAGGCGGCCUGCUAAGUCGAACGUGAAAUCCCUGGGCUCAACCCAGGAACUGCGUCCGAUACUGGUUGGCUUGAAUCCGGGAGAGGGACGUGGAAUUCCAGGUGUAGCGGUGAAAUGCGUAGAUAUCUGGAGGAACACCGGUGGCGAAGGCGACGUCCUGGACCGGCAUUGACGCUGAGGCGCGAAAGCCAGGGGAGCAAACGGG